GGAGAUAUAGUUUAAUUAGGUAAACGCUGACUUUGUAGGUCGGAUUCUAGGGUUCAAUUCCGGGUAUCUCCA
rnacentral:tRNA from 1 species